UAGUUAAAUAUGAUUCUAUGUUCCCGGGGCAUUCGUCUUGGGCUAAGAGGGAAACAGGUAGAAGCCUGUGCGGUCCCGCCACUGUAAGCAGUAUUUAUAUAGCAUUCAUCGACAAGGUGAGCCACUGGAGCGUCCGGGAAGGUAGCUAUGUAUGAUAAGCUGCGAGCCAGGAGACCUGCAUAGAAUCUUCCUAAACG
rnacentral:ncRNA from 2 species